CUUUUGAUGGCGACCGGCGCACGGGUGAGUAACACGUAUCCAACCUGCCUCAUACUCGGGGAUAGCCUUUCGAAAGAAAGAUUAAUACCCGAUGUUAUAGCCUACCGCAUGAUGGGAUUAUUAAAGAAUUUCGGUAUGGGAUGGGGAUGCGUUCCAUUAGUUAGUUGGCGGGGUAACGGCCCACCAAGACAACGAUGGAUAGGGGUUCUGAGAGGAAGGUCCCCCACACUGGUACUGAGACACGGACCAGACUCCUACGGAAGGCAGCAG
rnacentral:rRNA from 1 species